rnacentral:tRNA from 1 species
GGGGAUAUCGGAUAAUGGUUAUUCCACUGUAUUUGCACUACAGUUAUGAUAGUUCGAGUCUAUCUAUCUCCA